UGCACGGCGAUGCUCAACGGCUCGUCCCAGCAGCUGCGGCCCGCGGGCUGCAGGCUCAGCGUCACCGCCAUGGGAACUCAGAGGCCUUGUACACAGCCAACUCAGGCCUUCAACUCUCCUGACAGAGUUUAGCGCCAGCUAGCUGAUUUUCUGGAAAUAAACAGACCUUCUCGUGCUUA